rnacentral:rRNA from 1 species
UACAGAGGGUGCAAGCGUUGUUCGGAAUUACUGGGCGUAAAGCGCGUGUAGGCGGUCUGAUAAGUCAGAUGUGAAAUCCCUCAGCUUAACUGGGGAACUGCGUCCGAUACUGGAUGGCUCGAGUUUGGGAGAGGGAUGCGGAAUUCCAGGUGUAGCGGUGAAAUGCGUAGAUAUCUGGAGGAACACCGGUGGCGAAGGCGGCAUCCUGGACCAACACUGACACUGAGGAGCGAAAGCCAGGGGAGCAAACGGG